CUAGUCCAACAGCAAUUCUCAUGUUAUGCGAGGAUUCAAGGUUGAGACGAUGGAUACGCCCUCCACACCCCGAGCUGCUGGAGAAUCUGUGUCAUGUCACAUCACACUCUCUCCUAAAUGCCUAACCCACCACAAUCUCCCUUCCUCUUCCCGCUUCCCAUUGCCUAACUGUAACCGAAGGCCGCCCAACUCCUUACUCUCCUCCGUGUACUCCGUCCAUGUCUCCCAGCUCAAUUGCCUCCCCAUGCAGACACUUUGCGGGCGGCAAGGGGCGGCGCAGCGUCCUCUGCUCGCCGUGGAUCACUCGGUUGCGCUCUCCCGACUGGAGGAGAAACUAGGAAGGAUGAGCACGGUGGAGGUGGACGGUUCAUGUCUGCAUCAGCUGAGCGGGAUCCAGAUCGGGGGAAGGAGGUCGUAGGCGUGAGAUUGUCCCUGCUUUUCCGGAUUUCGCGUGCUUCGGAUUCUCCAGCACAGCACGAAGAUAAGGAGAUCUCCGAGCAGGACCAAGUCAGCAUGCGGCUCGCAGGUGCCACCAAGUGCUCGUCGUCGCCCGUGUUCUGUUCUCGCCUGCUGGGAGUCAUCGGUGGCAUGCGGCGGCCGUCUCAUCACUUCGGCAUGGAAGCAAGGAGCAGAGAUACUGUCAGACGACGGUGCUGGUGAUGCUCCUGCAAGCAGGAAUCUCAGAGUAUGACGCUGUCGACGACGAUGCCGAUGACGUUCCUGCAAGCAGGAAUCUCAGAGUAAGAUUGACUCUCCUCUUGAUCGAAUCAUAUUGUCUAAUUCGCACUAUGCUUCGCUAAGUCUUUUUAUCUGAAGAUGCUGAAAAACUUUAUGUAGCUUAAUUUGCUAGACAACAUUUGUGUUUUGAUUUCUUUUGA